rnacentral:lncRNA from 1 species
UUUUUAGCAUAUAUAUUCGUUACUUAAAUUAUUAUGAAUCUAACCAUUAUGGUAUAUUAUAUGUUUGCUACUCUUACUAGGGUAAAUAUAGUUAAUUGAUUCCUUUCCUUUUGGACCCUCUGUUUGUUACCGUUGCCUUGACUCCUUAGUUAAAGGGGAGUCAUAAUACUAAUUGGGUUUGAUUGACACUAGUUCCUUAAUUAAUGAUUACUGCCUUGUUUGUGUACUCGUUUCUAGUACUAUAAGUACCCCACCCAUUCUAUUUGAAACAGACAAACACAUUGCAUAUCUCUCAUACACAAACACAAGUUCAAACUCUCUGAACUCUCUCUUUCAAAACACUCAGUGUUAUCUCUUUCUCUACUGUUUCUACACCCUCUUAUUCUUCUAUUUGAAUACUUCAUCGGCUGAAAGCCAAGAUUGAGUAAUCUUGGCUGUUUAUUUCUACACAACUAAGGUUCUACUACAUUGCUUACUUGGGUUUGCCUGCUGCUCUCUUUGUUGUACACUGUCAUUCUCACAUUGCUGCUCACACUCUCUGAUCACUUUGCUCUCUCUGUGCACCAUUACUCUUUGUGCUCUAUUUGUCUGCAACUGGCAUGUUACCUAUUUAAUAUACAGUUUCCAAAACUACAUGUUUUACUAGUUUUGCACUUCUUCUUGUUUCUUGUGUCCUUUUACCUAUGGUUUUUCUGUUCUUCUUGUCACUAGUAUACACUUACUAGCCUAUUUAGCUUAGAUUAGCAUGCUCCCC